UGUAUUCUGCUAUGUCUACUGGGAGAAUACACUAGUGGGGAUAGUUCUGUGUAUACAGUGAUUAAGCACAUAGGUUCUGGAGCCAGUCUGUUUCUUUCAAAAUCACCUCAUUGCUUUUGAAGAAUCAGGGAAACCCCCAUGAGACUACAGGUGUGAAGCAAGAUAGAAGCAUCAGUGCAAAAGAGUACUGCAUUUCCAAAUAAAGCCACUCACAAUCUUUAAUCAGGCUGUAAAUUUUAAGAAAUCUGGACCAAGACAGUUUGCUCCAAGAGUAUCCCACAAAUGCAGAUCUUCAGAGUGAGAUUUUAUUAUUGGAUUGCUCACCUGUCUGUUGUUCCUCUAAUCUGAUGGGACACUCCCGCAAUGAUGCUUCAGCUGUAUUUUAACCUCAAGAAACCCUAAGAUCCCUCACUCCUAUGCUGCUGUCAACGGGAGGCUAAGAAGCACAGAGAAAUAGGCCAUACAAAGUCUACCUCUCUGAACACUCUGGUUUGUUGAGAUGACAGAUGGUUAAGUCUCUCUCUGACAUCAAGAGUUAGAGCCAAAGUUAUCAUGGAAUUGUUUCUUUUGGAAUGUCAAGUUUAUGUGCACCGUAUCACUCUUCUGAAAUGGACUCAAGAUUCAGGGUCUCAUCUCACUUUUGAUUUAACUACACUCAUAUUCAUCCAUGUGUGAAAAAUGGUGAUCACACUAGAAAGCUUGUUCUUACUGUUUCCUUGCAUAUCUGAAUACCUGCAUCACAUUCAAAUCUAACUCACUGCCUUAAUUUAAUAGCUGAAAGAAACACUGAACAAGUCACACUCCUGCAAGGGCAUGGAACACAGAAUGAUUCUCUUACUGAGAUACCUUGGAACAUGGUUUGAAUAAUAUUGCUCUAACUUCUUUCAUGUCAGGAAGCUCUGAGAUACUUCCUUUUCUUACUUAAUAAGAAUAGACCUUGGAGGUCUGGACCUGGACAUGAACGUACACUUUUCUAAAGAAGAUAUACACAUGGCCAACAAGCAUGUGAAAAAAAGCUCAAUAUCACUGAUCAUUAGAGAAAUGCAAAUGAAAAUCACAAUGAGAGACCAUCUCACACCAGUCAGAAUGGCUAUUAUUAAAAACUCAAAAAAUAACAGAUGCUGGCGAGGUUGCAGAGAAAAGGGAACACUUAUACACUGUUGGUGGGAGUGUAAAUUAGUUCAACUAUUGUGUAAAGCAAUAUGUCAAUUCCUCAAAGAGCUAAAAAAGAACUACCAUUGGACUCAGCAAUCCCAUUACUGGGUAUAUACUCAGAGGAAUAUAAGUCACUCUACUAUAAACACACACGCAUGCAAAUUUUCAUUGUAGCACUAUUUACAAUAGCAAAGACAUGGAAUCAACCUAAAUGCUCAUCAAUGACAGAUCGGAUAAAGAAAAUAUGCAUCUUCAACCUUUCUGGACUACAGCACCUGCCAACUGACCCCCACAUCAUGGCUCCAACGCUGGCUUCAUCACAUAUCUUCUCUCUCAGUCCCUUUGGCUCUCAGGGUGCAAUAGCUUAACAAAAUUGCUGAUCUAGGUGCCUCAGCAUUGUUUCUUUGUCAUAGUCUCUGUAUUAUCUUAUUUUGAGCCAUUCUUUUCCUGCAAAGAUCCUAACUGAAUGAGAUAACUACUUCAUAAGCUAUUUGUAAGGUUUAAAUAAAUUAAUGCAUAUUUAAUACAUGAA
rnacentral:lncRNA from 1 species